rnacentral:rRNA from 1 species
GACGAAGGGGGCUAGCGUUAAUCGGAAUUACUGGGCGUAAAGCGUGCGCAGGCGGUUAUGUAAGACAGAUGUGAAAUGCCCGGGCUUAACCUGGGAACUGCAUUUGUGACUGCAUGGCUAGAGUUUGGCAGAGGGGGGUAGAAUUCCACGUGUAGCAGUGAAAUGCGUAGAUAUGUGGAGGAACACCGAUGGCGAAGGCAGCCCCCUGGGUCAAGACUGACGCUCAUGCACGAAAGCGUGGGGAGCAAACAGG